rnacentral:lncRNA from 1 species
UGCUGAGGAUUUAGCUCUUUACUGGAUUUUAUGUAGACACUGAAGUCCUUUACUCAUAUUUUAUUCAGUUAAUGUUCCCUGGAUGAGAAAGGACUGUGUCCAACAUUUAGGAGCUGUCUCUAUAAUAAGGAAAGAAGUAUUCUGAUGUGUGUGAUGCCAGUGAAACAUUGCAGGCAGUGGGUGUAGAGAGGCAGCUAGUCAAAUAAUUGUGGAGAGAGGUCUCCUUUUUGCCUGGCCACUCUGCUGCCACUCAGCCUAACUUUUGCAGGCACACCUUUGACUCUCCAUUGGAAGCUUUCAUUCAGCCCUCCAUUCAAACCCAUCUCUGCCUCAUUCAAUCAAAUAAACACUCCUUGUGAAUAAAAGACAUACAAAAGAAUACAUGUGCAAGUAGUUCUAUACUGAGCUGGUAGUCUCAGUCUUGCUUUAGCUACCUGGUGGAGGGACUAAUAAGAAAUCAAAUAAAACUCUUGGCAAAUCUUCUAGGAGAUGAGAUUUGGUAUUUCUUACUACAGUUUCCUUUAUCUUUCUUAUAGUGACUCCUUGUUGGCUUUAAAUCAGUGGUAUUUAACCUCUUAAUAGAACUGAAGAUGAUGGGCCUUUUCAUGUGUUAUCAAGCAGGAGGAAGUCUAAGGGAGCAAAUUAGGUCACUUGCUGAAGAAGUAACUGGUCAUCAAACCAAUGUAAUAACUAUUUUCAAGCUUUCUUUUAAAUUUGCCACUUUCCUUUCUCCCAUUAAAUCAGGCGGAAAAUAGGACUGUGUCAAAAAUUAGUUACUUCCUAAGAAAUUGUUCUUUCUUUCUUUAUUUAUUUUAUGCUCAUCAUAAAGGAGGAAAGGUGUUCUUUUACCUAGAAUAGUUUCACCACUUUGCCUGUAUGUGAAAAGCAGCUUUUGUCAGCAAAGUGUUUUCUGAUGGGUAAUGUAGUGAGUGAGUCAGUGUGGAAAGAGUUUGAAGGUCAAAGCUGUAAGAUUACUUGCUGUGUCACUUGGUCUCCUGAUCUGAAUAUUACAUGUGUCAUUUUCUGAGCUUAUUGUUGAAGAAGGAACACCAAGACAUGUCUGGGAG